AUAUACCUCUCUUCCUCUCUCAUAAUUAACUGUCCUUUUCUUCAUAUUAGAUGCAACAACACCAUUUGAGCCAACAACACAAUUGACCCCAGCAACUAGUAAGUAUUAUCAACAUCUGGAAAAGUCACUGAGUUAUUUUAUCAGAAGUCCAUAAACAAUUGAUCUUAUGGAUGUAGUGUUUUAUAUACCUCUCUUCCUCUCUCAUAAUUAACUGUCCUUUUCUUCAUAUUAGAUGCAACAACACCAUUUGAGCCAACAACACAAUUGACCCCAGCAACUAGUAAGUAUUAUCAACAUCUGGAAAAGUCACUGAGUUAUUUUAUCAGAAGUCCAUAAACAAUUGAUCUUAUGGAUGUAGUGUUUUAUAUACCUCUCUUCCUCUCUCAUAAUUAACUGUCCUUUUCUUCAUAUUAGAUGCAACAACACCAUUUGAGCCAACAACACAAUUGACCCCAGCAACUAGUAAGUAUUAUCAACAUCUGGAAAAGUCACUGAGUUAUUUUAUCAGAAGUCCAUAAACAAUUGAUCUUAUGGAUGUAGUCUUUUAUAUACCUCUCUUCCUCUCUCAUAAUUAACUGUCCUUUUCUUCAUAUUAGAUGCAACAACAUUUGAGCCAACAACACAAUUGACCCCAGCAACUAGUAAGUAUUAUCAACAUCUGGAAAAGUCACUGAGUUAUUUUAUCAGAAGUCCAUAAACAAUUGAUCUUAUGGAUGUAGUCUUUUAUGUACCUCUCUUCCUCUCUCAUAAUUAACUGUCCUUUUCUUCAUAUUAGAUGCAACAACACCAUUUGAGCCAACAACACAAUUGACCCCAGCAACUAGUAAGUAUUAUCAACAUCUGGAAAAGUCACUGAGUUAUUUUAUCAGAAGUCCAUAAACAAUUGAUCUUAUGGAUGUAGUGUUUUAUAUACCUCUCUUCCUCUCUCAUAAUUAACUGUCCUUUUCUUCAUAUUAGAUGCAACAACACCAUUUGAGCCAACAACACAAUUGACCCCAGCAACUAAUGCAACAACACCAUUUGAGCCAACAACACAAUUGACCCCAGCAACUAGUAAGUAUUAUCAACAUCUGGAAAAGUCACUGAGUUAUUUUAUCAGAAGUCCAUAAACAAUUGAUCUUAUGGAUGUAGUGUUUUAUAUACCUCUCUUCCUCUCUCAUAAUUAACUGUCCUUUUCUUCAUAUUAGAUGCAACAACAUUUGAGCCAACAACACAAUUGACCCCAGCAACUAGUAAGUAUUAUCAACAUCUGGAAAAGUCACUGAGUUAUUUUAUCAGAA
rnacentral:lncRNA from 1 species